UAUGGGCUGUUGAUUUUUUAUGUCCGUACAUACAUACCUAUAUCACAUGGCACAUACAUACAUACAUACGUCUAACACCUUUGUUCCAUAGAGGUAAACAAGAGCUGCGAAAUGUCACUAACUCCAAUUCUUGAAUACUUUUUUCUUGGCUUUACAUUAAUGUAUUUUAUAAGUCAUAAACAUAUUAAUUAUUAGGUAUACUGUUGUUAACCAUACCUACCCUUGUGUUAGUAAUCCCAUUGAGUGUCGGGAAAGAACCUUCUUCCAAAUAUUUGUUUAUAAAUUAGUGAUACAAUACAAAUUUGAACUGCCUUACACGGCUUUUUAAUCGACUAUUAGUAUUUAAAUAAACAGAAAACGUUAUCACAAGGAAUCCAAAAACAGGUUUUUCCGCUGUUAAAAAAAUAUGCAUAAACAUUUUUACUUUUAGCCACGAGGCGGCGCGGCGCUUUUAGCGAACUGAAGUUGCCUUCAUUCAACGGCAUGAGUCGAUCGGAUCGUCUCAUCAGUUCGAUGAAGCUGUGCAAAUAAUACACAAUAUUUACUGCACAAUGUGCAAAAAAUACCCAGUGAAAUUGUUUUAUUUACAAGUCACAAUUUAGUAUAAACAAUGAGAGUGAAGUUUUUUAGUUUAUUUAUCAUAGUUCUUGUGAUAUUAGGCUUAAGCAUACAAGGGUCCAACGCAGCCAUAAAGAAGAAAAGAACAUGCAGAUAUGAUUGUACAGAGUUCUGCCAACUUCAGGGCACCAGCCACGGGGCCUGUCUAGGGUCUACAUGCAAGUGUUCCUCACUAAACACUGUUGUUGAACAACUGCAUGACUAUGACACUUAAUUAAAAAUAAAUAUUUGAGUACAUC